rnacentral:rRNA from 1 species
GAUGAACGCUAGCGGCAGGCCUAACACAUGUAAGUCGAGGGGUAGCAGGAUUAAGCUUGCUUAAUUGCUGACGACCGGCGCACGGGUGCGUAACGCGUAUGCAACCUACCUUAUACUGGGGUAUAGCCCGGAGAAAUUCGGAUUAAUCCCCCAUAGUACUAAUGAAUCGCAUGGUUUAUUAGUUAAAGCAUUGCGGUAUAAGAUGGGCAUGCGUCCUAUUAGCUAGAUGGUGAGGUAACGGCUCACCAUGGCUGCGAUAGGUAGGGGGCCUGGGAGGGUGGUCCCCCACACUGGUACUGAGACACGGACCAGACUCCUACUGGAGGCAGCAGUGAGGAAUAUUGGUCAAUGGGCGCAAGCCUGAACCAGCCAUGCCGCGUGCAGGAAGAAUGCCCUAUGGGUUGUAAACUGCUUUUAUUUGGGAAUAAACCUCUUUACGUGUAGAGAGCUGAAGGUACCAAAUGAAUAAGCACCGGCUAACUCCGUGCCAGCAGCCGCAGUAA